GCCAGUGUGGUGUAGUGGUUUGAACAUUGGACUACAACUCUGGAGACCAAGGUUCAAAUUCCUGUUCAUCCA